AUUGAACGCUGGCGGCAGGCCUAACACAUGCAAGUCGAACGAGUGGCGGAUGGGUGAGUAAUGUCUGGGAAACUGCCCGAUGGAGGGGGAUAACUACUGGAAACGGUAGCUAAUACCGCAUACCAUCGGAUGUGCCCAGCGGGGAUUAGCUAGUAGGUGGGGUACCGGCUACCCUAGCCGACGAUCCCUAGCUGGUCUGUGAGGAUGACCAGCCACAGUGGAACUGAGACACGGUCCAGACUCCUACGGGAGUCAGCAGUGGGGAAUAUUGAACAAUGGGCGCAAGCCGGAUGCAGCCAUGCCCCGUGUAUGAAGAAGGCCUUCGGGUUGUAAAGUACUUUCAGCGAGGAGGCGUUACUCGCAGAAGAAGCACCGGCUAACUCCGUGCCAGCCGCCGCGGUAAUUC
rnacentral:rRNA from 1 species